rnacentral:rRNA from 1 species
UACGUAGGGACCAAGCGUUGUUCGGAUUUACUGGGCGUAAAGGGCGCGUAGGCGGCGUGGUAAGUCACUUGUGAAAUCUCUGAGCUUAACUCAGAACGGCCAAGUGAUACUGCUGUGCUAGAGUGCAGAAGGGCAAUCGGAAUUCUUGGUGUAGCGGUGAAAUGCGUAGAUAUCAAGAGGAACACCUGAGGUGAAGACGGGUUGCUGGGCUGACACUGACGCUGAUGCGCGAAAGCCAGGGAGCAAACGGG